rnacentral:rRNA from 1 species
UUGAACUGAAGAGUUUGAUCCUGGCUCAGAUUGAACGCUGGCGGCAUGCCUUACACAUGCAAGUCGAACGGCAGCACGGGCUUCGGCCUGGUGGCGAGUGGCGAACGGGUGAGUAAUACAUCGGAACAUGUCCUGUAGUGGGGGAUAGCCCGGCGAAAGCCGGAUUAAUACCGCAUACGAUCUACGGAUGAAAGCGGGGGACCUUCGGGCCUCGCGCUAUAGGGUUGGCCGAUGGCUGAUUAGCUAGUUGGUGGGGUAAAGG